UGCAGUCGAACGAUGAUCCGGUGCUUGCAUCGGGGAUUAGUGGCGAACGGGUGAGUAACACGUGAGUAACCUGCCCUUGACUCUGGGAUAAGCCUGGGAAACUGGGUCUAAUACCGGAUACGACCGAUCACCGCAUGGUGUGUUGGUGGAAAGCUUUUGCGGUUUUGGAUGGACUCGCGGCCUAUCAGCUUGUUGGUGGGGUAAUGGCCUACCAAGGCGACGACGGGUAGCCGGCCUGAGAGGGUGACCGGCCACACUGGGACUGAGACACGGCCCAGACUCCUACGGGAGGCAGCAGUGGGGAAUAUUGCACAAUGGGCGAAAGCCUGAUGCAGCGACGCCGCGUGAGGGAUGACGGCCUUCGGGUUGUAAACCUCUUUCAGUAGGGAAGAAGCGAAAGUGACGGUACCUGCAGAAGAAGCGCCGGCUAACUACGUGCCAGCAGCCGCGGUAAUACGUAGGGCGCAAGCGUUAUCCGGAAUUAUUGGGCGUAAAGAGCUCGUAGGCGGUUUGUCGCGUCUGCUGUGAAAGACCGGGGCUCAACUCCGGUUCUGCAGUGGGUACGGGCAGACUAGAGUGAUGUAGGGGAGACUGGAAUUCCUGGUGUAGCGGUGAAAUGCGCAGAUAUCAGGAGGAACACCGAUGGCGAAGGCAGGUCUCUGGGCAUUAACUGACGCUGAGGAGCGAAAGCAUGGGGAGCGAACAGGAUUAGAUACCCUGGUAGUCCAUGCCGUAAACGUUGGGCACUAGGUGUGGGGGACAUUCCACGUUUUCCGCGCCGUAGCUAACGCAUUAAGUGCCCCGCCUGGGGAGUACGGCCGCAAGGCUAAAACUCAAAGGAAUUGACGGG
rnacentral:rRNA from 1 species